CAUCACAUCGCCGUCUGUCUCCUUCCUCGCGUCACUUGGUACUCGUGCACACUCCCUUCUCCUGGAGUCGCUGCUCUCUUCGGGAAUCUCGUUCCCGGGAAGAUGCAGACGAUGGGGUGACGUCGGCUUGGAAUGGCGACGGUGGCUGCGCUCGCGGUGGCGGCCUCCCUCCUGGGCCCCUCGGUCGCUUUCGUCAACAAGACCGUCUCCUCCCACGACAUCGUCAUCUUCUCCAAGUCGCACUGCUCCUGCGUUCGCCUCUCCCUUUUCCCUUUUUCUCUCUGCUACAAUAGCUCGAUGGAUCUCUUUGGUGACCGCGUCCUGGUGCUAUCGAAGGGCGAAAGCUGUCUUUAAGGAAUCGAAAAAAGUGCCUUAUGUUGUGGAGCUGGAUCAGUGUGAGGAUGGAUCUCAAAUUCAGGAUGCCUUGUCUGGGAUGGUCGGGAAGCAUACAGUGCCUCAAGUAUUUAUCCAUGGAAAGCACUUGGGUGGCUCUGAUGAUACUGUUGAAGCAUAUGAAAGUGGAAGGAUUCUGACUCUUCUGGGCAUUGACUCAAAAGAUAAAUCUUUAAAUGAUUUAUCUCUCAUUCAUCAAUCAGUCAGGGUAUGGAUGAGUUAAAUCUUGUUGAUGGUGUAUCUGGAUAGUGUUGCAAACAGGUUUAGGUGUGAGUGCAUUUGUAAUGCUAAUAUUGGUCAGUAUCUUUGGAUAAUAUUUCUUGUGGUUAUCCUUUAACAUAUCAUGAUAGUGAAUAAACUAUGGAUUACUUGCA